AAAUGAGACACAUCAGCUUAUGUGUUCUUCUUUGUAAAACAAGACCAAACAAAACCAAUCCUAGGUUACAUCAAUCGCUAAGAUACUCAGCUAAUCUAUGUCAAUGGGUAUAACCUUUUCACAAGGUCACACAAGGUUACAUCAAUCCAAUGAUUUUUAUGAAUGAUUGAUUAAACAUCUCUACCACUCUUAGCUACAACUCAAAUACACACCAAAAAAUAAUACUAAUUAUUUUCUGUUCCUCCUUAUGUAUAAC